UACGAAGGGGGCUAGCGUUGCUCGGAAUGACUGGGCGUAAAGGGCGCGUAGGCGGCGGUCACAGUCAGAUGUGAAAUUCCUGGGCUUAACCUGGGGGCUGCAUUUGAUACGUGGUUGCUUGAGUGGGGAAGAGGGUCGUGGAAUUCCCAGUGUAGAGGUGAAAUUCGUAGAUAUCGGGAGGAACACCAGUGGCGAAGGCGGCGACCUGGGCCAAUAUUGACGCUGAGGUGCGAAAGCGUGGGGAGCAAACAGG
rnacentral:rRNA from 1 species